rnacentral:misc_RNA from 1 species
UUUCCGUAGGUGAACCUGCGGAAGGAUCAUUCAUAAUAAGUGUUUUACUGCACUUUUUAAUAAUAGUACUCACCUUGUGUGCAAUAUUGUGUUUCUUUUCGGAGAAACACCUACACCAACCUAUAACCUUGAACCACUUUGUCUGAAAAACUAUUAUGAAUACUUAAUUCCAAAUACAACUUUCAACAACGGAUCUCUUGGCUCUC